UGGUAGAGAGAAGCGUGU
rnacentral:snRNA from 1 species